rnacentral:rRNA from 1 species
UACAGAGGUGGCAAGCGUUGUUCGGAAUUACUGGGCGUAAAGGGCGCGUAGGCGGCCCGUCAAGUCCCGUGUGAAAGCCCCCGGCUCAACCGGGGAACUGCACGGGAAACUAGCAGGCUUGAGUUCGGGAGAGGGAAGCGGAAUUUCGGGUGUAGCGGUGAAAUGCGCAGAUAUCCGAAGGAACACCGGUGGCGAAGGCGGCUUCCUGGACCGACACUGACGCUGAGGCGCGAAAGCUAGGGGGAGCAAACGGG